CUGAUGCAGCCAUGCCGCGUGUGUGAAGAAGGCCUUCGGGUUGUAAAGCACUUUGUUUAUUGAGGAAAGGUGUGGUGUUAAUACCUGAAUACUGUGACGUUAACUGGAGAAGAAGCACCGGCUAACUCCGGGCCCGCGGCCGCGGUAAUACGGAGGGGGCAAGCGUUAAUCGGAAUUACUGGGCGUAAAGCGCGCGUAGGUGGUUUGGUCAGUCAGAUGUGAAAGCCCCGGGCUCAACCUGGGAAUUGCACCUGAUACUGGCAGGCUAGAGUACGGAAGAGGGAAGUGGAAUUUCCGGUGUAGCGGUGAAAUGCGUAAAGAUCGGAAGGAACACCAGUGGCGAAGGCGACUUCCUGGACUGAUACUGACACUGAGGUGCGAAAGCCUGGGGAGCAAACAGGAUUAAAUACCCUGGUAGUCCACGCCGUAAACGAUGUCAACUAGUUGUUGGGAGACUUGAUCUCUUACUAACGAAGCUAACGCGAUAAGUUGACCGACUGGGGAGUACGGCCGCGAGGUUAAAACUCAAA
rnacentral:rRNA from 1 species